rnacentral:rRNA from 1 species
AAAAUUGGCGGUAUUUAAAUCUAAUUAGGGGAACUUGUUUUUUAAUAUGAUAAUCCUCAAGAAACCUUACUUUAAUUUAUAAAUUUAUUUAUUGCCGUUAUCAGGAUAUUUUUUUAGAAUUGAAAUUUUCCUUAAAUAUUUAUAAAUAAUUAUUUCAGGUCUUUAUGUAGUUUAUAUUAAAGUUAAGAUGAGUUACAAUAAAAUAUAUUUAUUAUGGAAGUUAAAUUGCAAUUUUUAAUUGAAGGUGGACUUAAUAGUAAAAAAAAAUAUAAUAUUUUUU